AAAUACUAUGAAUACAUGUAGAAAUUUGUUGCGCAUUUUUAUUGAAAAACUAGUUAAAGGUGCCCAGCCCGGACUCGUGUGUAACCAAAUUUGUACUACUCCAUCCCAUUGGGGGUAGAAAUCCCACGCACAACCCCACGCGCCGCCGGACUUUUCCCGUGGCAUGGCCAAUCGUUUCCUUCUAUUUUGAAACUCUCCUCUCCUCUCUCAUAAUCCAACCGUUGAGAUCCGGGUCGUAUUGGAGACCAUGGAGCAACCUAGCGGCGACGCGAAGAAGCAGGAAGCGGGUCAGAGCUCGGUUCACGAUCCGAACCCUGCCCCGGAUCCGAAUGUCGAGGGCGGCACAGAUUCCACUCGAGCCAAGGACGAGUUGGAGAAAUCAGAGACCCUCAUGCAACAGCCGGUUCAUCAUAAUAUUACGGGGGAUCAUAAUGUAGCCAGUAACGUUCACGAAAACGGCAGUCUUGAUAACGAGAAACCGACGUUGGACGAAACUCGGUCGAAGAAAUCGGUGAGUUGGAGUCAGGAAUUGGUGAUGGAGUCGACGUUUUCUCCUUCUCCUGGGCCCUCCUCCCGCUCAGCCUCCUUCAAGGAUUCGCUGAGUAAUGCUCGAGAUGUGCUAGGGAGAUGGGGAAAGAAGGUUGGAGAAGCUACGAGGAAGGCUGAGGAUCUCGCUGGAAACACUUGGCAACACUUAAAAACGGCCCCUAGUUUUGCUGAUGCUGCUGUUGGUAGAAUUGCUCAAGGAACAAAGAUCCUAGCAGAAGGUGGUUACGAGAAGAUUUUCAGGCAAACUUUUGAGACUGUUCCUGAGGAGCAACUUCAAAAUUCAUAUGCCUGUUAUUUGUCCACAUCAGCUGGUCCAGUGAUGGGUACUGUGUAUGUAUCUACAGCUAAGAUUGCAUUUUGCAGUGAUGCUCCACUGUCAUAUAAAACUGAGGACAAGACCGAGUGGAGCUAUUAUAAGGUAGUCAUCCCGUUACACCAGCUUAAAGCAGUCAAUCCUUCAUCAAGCAGAGCUAAUUCUGCUGAAAAGUACAUCCAGGUUAUUUCAGUGGAUAACCACGAAUUUUGGUACAUGGGAUUUCUGAACUAUGAUAGCGCAGUGAAGUGCCUACAGGAUGUUCUGCAAGUACACUACUCUCCUGUCUGAUAAUGGUACGCUUUUUUUGGUACCAUCACUUUUUAUAGUUUUCUAAAAGUCUCAAGGAUAAUAGAUGGAAGAUAGGAUGUCUAAUUUGAGGCCUUGUUGACUUUUGGGACCAGGCUCGGAUAAUUCUCUUUCGUUCCUUUCCUUUUGGUGUUGAUAGAGCCGGUGCAAGCGAAGAGCAAGAUGAUAGAUCCCAUCCUUGAUCUCUGCCUCUAAAUCUCUUUCCACAUCCAUCUCCAGCUCACCGCGGAUCUUCAAUUCCUCAAUGGACAUGACUACACGCUGCAAGGCUUCAGUUUCACUAUGACCACUAUCUAUACAAGAAAGGUAGUGCUAUACAAAUAGAACAUUCAUUUACUAGGAUCUAAACAAGCAUCAAUGUGGUUCAAAAUUGCAUCAAUGUUACUGCAACGUCACUUUGUAGUGUUUUUAUGCAUGGGAGUUUCUUAUGAAUGGCAUUGUUCAAGACAAAUGGAAGAAAGAGAAGAAAAAAGAAACAAGUAUUACCGUCUCGAUCAAA